ACAAAACAUCAAGCCAACAGUUCAGGACUAGUCAUUCAAAUGGACUAAAGGUGGGGGAGAAAAAAUAAGAGUGGAUAAAAGAAAGAAAGAAAACAGAGAAAGGUGGGAAAAAAAAAACAAAGGAAGGAAGAGAGAAAAGAGAAUGAGAGGAAGAGAAGGAAGGGGAAAAACAAGAUUGACUUUACAGUAUGAGAUAUACUAUUAUAUAUUGGACCCUUGGUGGGCAGUGCCUAAACAGAGACAACUACAGGUUUCUGGCUGUGGCCACUCUCUGGUGAAACUAAGGGGUUUCUGUGUGGAGGUGCCUAACAGCCACCGUCCAGUUUGGGUAAAGAAAGCUUUUUAUGGUUCACUAAGGACAAUCAACCCCUUCGCAAUCUAGAACCAAAAGACUGGAUCUUCUGAGAACAUCUACUUAGUAUGAUGCCUCUGGCUUCCCUCUAUCACACGUCUUCUUUUCGAGUAAAGGUUUUUCAUAAAUGUGAGCGUGGAAGAAGAAACCAGAUGGUGUCAGAAGCGGAUCCGAAGUGGAACUUUUAGUGACCCUCAGGAGCACUGAAUGAACAUGCAAGGAACCUGCAGGACCCACUUGUGUCCAUUGAUCUCUGGGAGCAGCUGGGAUAAGCUCCUUUUCGGAUUUCAGAGCUCCAUGGACUUGUGUCUUGAGAUCCCUGAGUUUCUUUGAGCAAAUUUCUGAUCCAAAAUGGGUUUGGCAUCAUGGCAGAAACAGGACUGGGUCCACGAAUGGAUUUGAUCCAGGAAUGAACUGGCUUGGAUCCAGUCAGAGGU
rnacentral:lncRNA from 10 species